rnacentral:lncRNA from 1 species
GUAGCACUCUUUCAAAACUAGCCGCAACAAAAACCUAAGUUGUGGUUUAGAAAAAUGAACAGUGUCGUACACAAUAUGAUAUGUCGCUAGACAACACCGCAUGUUCGGUUGAAUUGUUAUCAUUGUGUAGCAGGUAACGGCUAGUGAAUGUGUAGAGAAAUCUGCCCGAAGAGCGAAUCACGUGACAUUUGUGUUGUGUGUGAACUCGUGUUCACUCUCGGUCAGUUGUGGGCAGUCGUUGGCGGAUAAAGGAGGACAAAGAACGAACACAGGAAGGAAGCUUGGGAGCCAGAGACUCUGUAUUCCCAUGGAAAUGCGAAAUGGUGCCAGUCCUUUAGUAGGGAAAUUGAGGGAGCCAAACACAGUGCAAGUCUUUCUGUAUGUUCCCUGCCUUCAGUCUUCUAGACCUCUACUGCUGGUGUCUUCUGUUCAGAAGUAUAGUCUCUUUAAGGAAAAUUGGUGGCUUUGCUGAAUUAAUACAUAAACACCUGAAUUUCUUGGGAGCCAGAGAGACUGUAUUCCCAUGGAAAUGUGAAAUGGUGAGUCCUUUAGUAGGGACACUGAGGGAGCCAAACACGGUGCAAGUCCUUCUGUAUGUUCCCUGCCUUCAAUCUUCUAGACCUAGCUCUACUGCCGGUGUCUUCUGUUCAGAAGUAUAUUCUCUUUAAGUUUUGGCACAGACAGUGUUUGGAGAGACUGGCAAAAAAUGACUGAUAAACAAAAAUUAUAACAACAACAGUUAAGCAACAACAGACCAGCUAACUCAGACGCUGAACUGCCAAUAGCUGCUGGAAAUGUUGGACAGAGUUAGCAUUGAAUAAAUUCCAGCUGGAUCUUGUCUGGAGCUUUCUGGAGUUCAUUUAAACUACAUCUGUACAGUCAACACUAUAAAUCAGUCUGGUGAGUCUGUGAUUGGUCAACUACACCAAGAAAUGAGGAGACUUCUUUGUUCUGAUGUCUGCCAUCACUUCAAUCUACUGUCCUGAGAAUCACCAUGGCGAUGACCUAGGUGUCAGAACAAAAACCAGAACAUACCUUAUCGAAAACCUAGACAUUCUCAUUCUUCCAAUCAGUCGUAGGGUUUAUGGAGGUCAUAGCCAACAUAAUACAGAUGCCGCUGUUCUAAGAUUCAUUCCUGCAAACCAAGACCAAACUGAUGGAUAAAGUAUCGGCUAAUUCAUUUGUGUCCCUUGCUUGAAGCUUCUUCCCAUGGAAUUUUUUCACGAAAUCAUUGACUGUCAACGUGGCAUGAAGACGGAAUGUACUGAUCAGAACGAGUUUCUCGCUGUUUUCUGGCAGCCAAUGGAAGAGCCGAGAAUACCAGUGCGAGUCAAGUGUUGAAUUUUCCACAUAAUAGCACAGAUUCCGAGCAUUGUUUCUCUCUGGUCAGAAAAAAAAAUCAGAGAAAUAACUUGGCAAUGAUAUAUUCCUGUCUGUUAGUAAUGAUUGAUCCCAGACUGAAUGCUACCAUGGGUCUGCUGGCAAGCUGGAAAGAUACAAAGAUAAAGAUAAUUUAUUAAACUUACUGAACAGGACAUUGGAGAAUAUUCAGUUGUGAAAGUGAAAUAGACAUUAAAAAUAUUAAGAUCAAGUGCAAAUUUGAUGGUUCGUGAUUGACAUUAACACUUACUGAAUGUAACAUUAAAGGAUGUUCAAGUGUGACAGUGAAAUAGGCAUUAAACAUUAAAGAUCAAGUUGUGGUUUAAGAUAAAAUACUGAAAAGAUCAACACCAGGAUGUUCACAAUAAUGUUACAAUUUAUUUUAUGGCAUUUAGAACCUUAGCAUUAAUAUGAAUUUUGAUAUUGUAGAGAUAGACCCUAACAUUUUCAUUGAUAGAAAUACAUUAAAUAAAGUCAAGAAAUUGA